UACGGAGGGUGCAAACGUUGCUCGGAAUCAUUGGGCGUAAAGCGCACGUAGGCGGUCCGUUAAGUCGGGAGUGAAAGCCCCAGGCUCAACUUGGGAAGUGCUUUCGAAACUGGCGGACUUGAAUACUGGAGAGGAUCGCGGAAUUCCCGGUGUAGAGGUGAAAUUCGUAGAUAUCGGGAGGAACACCAGCGGCGAAGGCGGCUCACUGGACGGUAACUGACGCUGAGACGCGAAAGCGUGGGGAGCAAACAGG
rnacentral:rRNA from 1 species